GGAGAGGUGUCCGAGUGGCUUAAGGAGCACGCCUGGAAAGUGUGUAUAGGUUAAUAGCCUAUCGAGGGUUCGAAUCCCUCCCUCUCCGCCA
rnacentral:tRNA from 8 species